rnacentral:tRNA from 1 species
CCCCUGGUCGUCUAUCCGGUAGGACGCCCGAUUUCCACUCGGGAAAAGCAGGUCCAAGCCCUGCCCAGGGGACCA